GUAGGGAAUAUUGCACAAUGGGGGAAACCCUGAUGCAGCGACGCCGCGUGAGUGAUGAAGGCCUUCGGGUCGUAAAGCUCUGUCGUAUGGGACUAACACAAUGAAGGUACCAUGCAAGAAAGGAUCGGCUAACUUCGUGCCAGCAGCCGCGGUAAGACGAGGGAUCCUAGCGUUGUUCGGAAUCAUUGGGCGUAAAGCGGGUGUAGGCGGAUUUAUAAGUCAGGUGUGAAAUCCCAGGGCGCAACGCUGGAAGUGCACUUGAUACUGAAAAUCUGGAGUGUGGUAGGGAUUACUGGAAGUGUUGGUGUAGUGGUGAAAUACGUAGAUAUCAACAGGAAUACCGGAGGCGAAGGCGAGUAACUGGGCCAACACUGACGCUGAGACCCGAAAGCGUGGGGAUCAAACAGGAUUAGAUACCCGUGUAGUCC
rnacentral:rRNA from 1 species